AAAUUUCCCAUUUUUAUCUAUGGAGUCACAACCGAGGUCGUGGUAAAUCCAUGAAUUUGAUUCGAUUUGUUUUUCUUAUACUAUUUGUUUUUCUUAUACUAUAGAAAUAGAAAUAAAUUUUUUUUCUUAUACUAUAGAAAGAAAUAAACCUUUGAAUUCAGCAUUAUUCCAAGACUCCUAUUUCAAAGUCUAUCUUUUAAGGGAAAAAUGACAAUAAAAGUAACCCUUCUUUU
rnacentral:rRNA from 1 species